CCAUGCAAGUCGAACGAUGAAGCCCAGCUUGCUGGGUGGAUUAGUGGCGAACGGGUGAGUAACACGUGAGUAACCUGCCCUUGACUCUGGGAUAAGCGCUGGAAACGGCGUCUAAUACCGGAUAUGACAACCGACGGCAUCGUCUGGUUGUGGAAAGAACUUUGGUCAAGGAUGGACUCGCGGCCUAUCAGCUUGUUGGUGAGGUAAUGGCUCACCAAGGCGACGACGGGUAGCCGGCCUGAGAGGGUGACCGGCCACACUGGGACUGAGACACGGCCCAGACUCCUACGGGAGGCAGCAGUGGGGAAUAUUGCACAAUGGGCGAAAGCCUGAUGCAGCAACGCCGCGUGAGGGACGACGGCCUUCGGGUUGUAAACCUCUUUUAGCAGGGAAGAAGCGAAAGUGACGGUACCUGCAGAAAAAGCACCGGCUAACUACGUGCCAGCAGCCGCGGUAAUACGUAGGGUGCAAGCGUUGUCCGGAAUUAUUGGGCGUAAAGAGCUCGUAGGCGGUUUGUCGCGUCUGCUGUGAAAUCCCGAGGCUCAACCUCGGGUCUGCAGUGGGUACGGGCAGACUAGAGUGCGGUAGGGGAGAUUGGAAUUCCUGGUGUAGCGGUGAAAUGCGUAGA
rnacentral:rRNA from 1 species